GAAAGAAUGUAUUCUCCAAGAGAGGUGGAAGGUGUUGAGAACUAGAGCCUGGGGGGAAGGAUAAGCUUGAAAGAAGGAAGAUGUGUGGAGACAGAGGGAUCUUUGUAGCUUGGCAACAGGGAACAUGAGAAGUAACCUUUUAUCUUUUGUCUUCCCUGGGAAGUGUGAGAAAAGGCAUCAUCCUCUCUGUUAGGAGAGAGAUUGCCAGGCCUGGAGUCUGGAGAGGAUGGACAAAGAUCACUGAUAGCAUUGUAAAGAAUUUGGGAGAGUGAAACGUGGGGAAUUGGGCUGCAUUAAGAGCCUGAUCCGUGGUUUGGGAACCUGCAUUGAAUGAUGUUGAGUCCUGCCAUUCUGUUCAGUACCAUUACCUUUCAUAGAAAGGAUUGAAAGAAUUUUAGUUGACGUUUUUGAGUGGUAAUACACACCUAAGAGUACUUUAGAAGUAUUGAACUAUAUAUUUAUACAAAAAGCAGUUAAGACACGUUUAAUAGUUUUGUGUCUAAAACAAUUUAUGAUAAUGACUAACCUUUGUUGAGGACCUGCUCUGACACAAAAAGCUAAGCAUAUUCUCUGCAUUAUUUUUCAGUUUUUAUGAGAGAGUACUAGGAGACAGACAUUAUUAUUAUUAUGGUCUCUAUUUUAAAGAUGGCAGAACCUAAGCUUAAGUAAUUUAAACAUCCUGUUCUAGAUCACACAACUAGUUACUGGUAACACCAGGAUUUGAACUAUCUCUUGAAUCCAGAGAGUGGUGUUAAGUACUUCUCUGUGGACUGAAUCAUAUGAAAUUGCCUGUGAGAAGGUAUUGGCAAUAUAUGGUUCAUCCUAACAUACUUAAUAAAAUAUUUGCCAAGGUCAGUGGACUGUGUUGUGCCAGGACUUAUCCUAGGUAUUUUAAUUGCAAUAAUCUGUUGAAACAGUUUUAAAUAUUUAUAGUAUUAAUUAUCCUGAUUUUUUAAAUUAUCACAUUCUUAUUUUUGAGUAACACACUUAGUUUACUUUAAAUUUGAGUAUAUUUUGAUAAUGACGUUAACUUUUCCUGACUAUACUAACAAAUCAAAAUGGGGCUGGGGAACUACUGGAAAUAUUGGCAAAAAUAAGAAAGCAGGCAUUACAAAUCUACUCUCUCACAAUAUGAAUAAAAUAUAAAAAUGAACUAAACUGUGAUAGUUGUUAGCCUGCUUGUUUAAUCUUCAUUUUAGUACCUAUGUCUAUCUAAUCAUUGUAAGCCAAACCAUAAAGUAAACAUCAGCUUCUUUUAAGAACGUUUUUUCUGAUUCUAAAAGCAAUCCAUAAUCAUAGAAAGAUUGAAAAUCAAGUAUAUAUAAAAUCAAAUAUAUACACAUAUUUAUAUUAUUCACAUCUGAUUCAGUGAAUGGUAGUCACUUAAGAAAUGUGGAUUCAUUUUUAAUUCAGUAGUUUCUGGCUUAUUAUGUAGUCGUUGAUUCAUGAUCAGCCUGAUCCUCUUCCAUUUCCUAAGCUUGUGUUGGGUGAAGGGCAGGAAUUUCUCUCACUUCAUCUCUGACUUGUGAACACCCACAGGUAUCAGUCAGUGGUAUUAAUUAAAAGUAAAUCGCCCACUCUCUCACUUCACUAAUAAAACAUUAGUUCUGAAUUUACAUACUCUCAGUUCAGUUAAAAACUCCUGUGAAAAUCUGAACUAAGAGAUAGGAAUUUUUUUCUUAUUAAAAAAAUCUUCAUUAAAAGGAUAUGAAGUUAUGUCUGUGGUAGCAUUUGGUUAUUUACAAAGCUUGUGGAAGAUGCCUGGCCAUCUUUUUUUGGCUUCCAUAUUGUCAGCUUGCAUGCAUAUUUGAAACACUUGAAAAGUAUUUAGUUAAUUGUACAGUCUAUGAUGAGGACCUAAUCUUAAACUGUAUAGUCUUGGUAAUUUGUUUUUUCUUAAGAUUUUUUUUAAAAUUAUUUAUUUGACAGCACAAGCAGAGGGAACAAGAGGGAGAGGUAGCUUCUCUGCUGAGCAGGGAGCCCGAUGUGGGACUCUGUCCCAGAAUCCUGAGAUCAUGACCUGAGACAAAGGCAGACGUCCAACCGACUGAGCCACCCAGGCACCCCUUGUCUUGGUAUUUUCACAUAACUUUUAGUGAGGUACAAGAUUUCUUUUAAGAAGGGCACAGACAAUUAAUUAUGUGACUGAGAAAAAUAAUUUCCCCCAAGUUAAUUGCACAAAUUACUGUAGCCCUAAAAGGUUAAUGAUUGUCAAACAUCUUUGAUGCAUAGAGCCUAUUAACUGCCAGUAUUAUUUGAAUAAAUAACUAGACUAGUCCUUCUUGGACAAAUGGCCUUAUCCAGAGGACAACAGUACACACUACCCUUUAUUAUGUUUUAAGGGAACAUUUUUUAAAUUCUUCAGUGAAAGGACUUUAAGCUAGUCUUAAGAGCCAUAGUAGAGUCUUAUAUUUCAAAAUAUGAGAUAGUGAAACAGAUUAUAUUCCAAAAUGCAACUAUGAUCAUUUAUUAUACAUGUACUUUAUAGAACUAUUGAGUUAUUACUUGAGGUUUAUAAAUAGAGUCAGUUUUUAUUUUGUACAGACUUAGCUUAGGCCUUAUAUGAUUAGAAUUAAUGCACAAUUAUCACUGUGCAUAUCUGAAAUGAAACUUGCUUUAUAGUUAUUUAUCAAAGAGAACUUUGAUAUUUUAAUAUCUAAUAUUAAAUAACAUUAGUAUUAAUAUUUUUAAAUGCUAAAUUUUAUUAUCUUAUUAAACUUUGUCUUUUAAUUUUUUUAUACUUCUUAGUGUUUUGUAGUCAGGACCAGGUUCCAAAAGAGUUAACUGGAAUAUACUUUCAUUUUCAAUAGCAAUAUAUCCUGAAGAAUUGUGUAAAGAAUACUAAUUUCUCUAGGAGAUGGUUUCUCAGAAAGGUUUCUCAAAAUUUGGGAAAGACUGCAUGCUGUAUGAUUUUAGAAGUAUCAGUUUACGUGAAAAUAUUGAAAGAUCUGGGAAAAACUGAAGCAAACAAAUCAAUUUAGCUUUGUCUCAUCUGGUGUUUCUUAAAUAUAUUUGGUGAUGGAAAUUCUUGUUUCAUAUAAUACAUAUGAAAAUCCUAAGCAUUUGCUCUGACCUUGUGCUCUGUAACUAUUUUGGGACAUACUGUACAAACAUUCAAAUGUAGCAAAUAUGUUUAUCUGCUAUACUUAUACAUACACAUGUAGAUAAGUCCACCUGUAUAAACAAAUAUUCACUUUUAUAAAGGUAUAUACACACAUAGAUGUAUGCACACAUAGGCACAUGUAUUUGAUCUAUAUGAUACCUGCAAGGUAUAGCAGAUAGUAGAAUCAGAAAAUAUUUAAGUGAUGAGAAAAUCUUACUAGUCCAUGGCAUAUUCCCAACUGCUUUCUUCAAGAUGCAGAAAACCAUACCACCAGCUUCAACAAGGUGUGCAAUUCACAAGUAUGUAAAUGGAUAUGAUCUUUUUAGGGACACUAGAAACAUUAAAGAGAGACUACCAACAAUUUCUGUACUAUUUCAGUAUUAAGUGUGUCAAAAGUAAAGGCUCUGGAUUUUGGGUCAGGACAUUGAGGUUCAGGCCUACAUUCUACCAUUUCCCACUGAUGUGAUUUUAUUUAGGCAAGUUACAGAUUUUCUCUGAGCUUGUUUUUCUCAUCUAUGAAUCUAUUUUUUCUCAUCUAUUUUUUCAUCAUCAUAUCUAUGAAGGAAGGUAAUACUUAUCUUGUAGGAUUAUUGGAAAAUAAUGUAAUAUGUAGAGUAUAUUAAAACUUAUUUUAAUUACUUGGAAAUAAUGCUAUGAAUGCUUAUUGAUCCCAAUAUGGGGCAAAACUCUAUUAAAAAACAAAUGUGAUUAACCUAAAUUUUUCAUUGCAUAUAUAUGAUGGAUUAGAAAAUCCAUUUCAUUUUGUUUCUGAAGACCUUUUUUUAAAAACAAUUAAUAUAAAAAUGCAUUUUUCCUGUUAAUGAAGAAUAAUGAAUGGACUUUCCUCAUUCUUGUUGAAAAACAUAAAACCUUCCUCCAAAGUGUCUGAAAACUAAAAUCUCAUGAAGAGUAGUAUCUUUAUGCUUUUAGCCUGAGAUCCUUUGUACUUAUUAGUGUCUCUUCCACACAUGGUGAUUUUCUGCUUCCACUUGCUUCUCUGACCACCUAAAAACUGUCCCUGUGGUGUAUCUUUAUCCUCCUUCCCUGCUUUUUAUAUAUUUAUAUAUAAGUAUAAAUAUAAAUAUAUAAUAUAUGUAUAUAUAAAAGUGAAAUGAAGAUCACAUUCUAUGGAUAUCAGUAAGGUAUUACAAUAUUUUGUAAUUAUGAAUUUUAACAAUUUCAUUGGAGCGAAUUUGUGUUUGCUUGUAUAGGUUUUCAUACCCAUUAAUUUAGCGCCUUAGAACUAAUCAGCUUCUAUAAAAUUAAUAGAAUUCAUAUCAGAAUACAUGUAUGCUCUCUUCCCUUUCUGCAUGGAGAUCUUUGUCCCUACAUGAAGGAAGGUAUGGUAAAAAUGUUACAUGUUUUCACUAGCCAGUAAUAUUAAAAAAAAAAAAAA
rnacentral:lncRNA from 1 species